CAUCUGCCAACUAGACCACUCUGUGAACACUUUCAAACAACACACCUUCAAAUCCUUGUCUAGACAUGGCCUUAUGCAAGGGAUAGAUAAGAAUCAGCCCCUGAAUGGGUGUUUUGUUAUAUAACCACCCAUGAGGCACAGGGAGUUAAACAUUUGCAGUAGUUUGUAACAUUCCUAAAGCAUUACGUUUUCAGCAAAGUGGAUUAUCUUGUCUCAUUUUUCUCUGAUGAACAAUCAACUUCAAUCUUGACACAUGAAUUUAUUAUGCUUGGGUUAGACAAACUGAGCCUUAAGAAGCUGCAGUUAAAAACCUCACUUUGUGUUUGUGCAGCUCUUAGGUUGCCUGACAGGGGUAUGAAAGUGAAAUCAGGCUUCUCUACCCUCGUCCAGCUCAGGUUGGAUGUCUAUAUACUAGAGAUGUGAUUUUUUUUAUAGGUUUUGCUAGAUAUUUGAUUGCUUUGUUGGAACAGUUCCACAGUAGCUGACUGAGCUGACCUCCAGAUGUAUCUCCUCCGGGGCAUUAUGUUCUGUUUCACAUUAUCAGCUGCAUGCUCCAAAGGUUAGGUUGUGAGAGCUUGGGUGGGGCUUUUAACUCCUUCUUCCAUCCCAGCAAUCCUGAUGUGCCUGUUCUUCUGUUCUCCCGUGGUUAAUUCUACCCAACAGUGGAAGAAACACAAUACAAACUCAGCUUGAUUUAAUAAUUGCAGUCAUGAUUUAUGUGCAACAGUGUCACUUCACUGAGCACUGAUUUGAUAGAUUAUGGAAAGCAUGUGCCUGGCUUAUUUGGAAAGUUUAUUUGACACUACAGAUUCUUGAAGGAAUGUGCAGAAACUUCUAAAUAUAUGGAACAAACUCACCUGGUGUAAAUCAGAUGUCUGAAUUGACAGGAGCAGUAAUGGGUAAGGCAGUAAUUAGUAUGCAUAACUAUUUCAAGGUGAGUAAAGUAAUACAGUUCCAGUGCCCAGAGUGCCAUUGAUUUACGCCAGCUGAGGAUAUGGCCUGUAGAACUGACAAGAAAUGUCUAUGCCUACUAAUUACUGAAGCUGGUAAUGUAUUUCAGCUGGUACUAACUGGUUUUAUCUCACUGGAAAAUUACAGAUGUACUAGCUCUUGCAGAUCAGACAUCAACGUGUUUGUGCAGGUUUUUUUGGUUAAAUGUCCUGAAAAGUGUGGCUGUGUUUUGUGUGGUGACUGUUCUUGUUAACAUUAAACCCUGCUUGACACACUGAUCAGACUUCUCACUAAUUUGGGCAUCCUCCUUACAGUUUGCACUGUGCUCUUCUCAGAUUGAGGCAGGAUGAAAAGCUGAUUUUUUGGUUAUGCCACCCUUCUGGCAGAGUGUGGUGAUGCAUUUAGGAUGCUUUGGAUGCUGUUACAAUUUCAGGUGGCUACUUAGGAAGAAGCAGCUGGGAUUCAAAUCAUCACUGAAGGUAAAAGCCCUCACAGACAUGAGGACACCAAAGUCCUUCAGAGCAUGGCCAUAGGUGUUUGGCUGUUUGAUUUGUUUUUGAGAGUGAGCUCUAACUAAAAGAGAAAGAAAUGAAUGAAGAGGAUCUCAUCUGCUUGUCAGCCCAUGAGUCAGCAUGACAGGACUAGAAUGUGAUCUUCAGUGACUACAAAAUUAUUUAGCAUGGAUAGCUCUCAACUGUAAGAGGUGCAUGGUUAGUGUCCUGAGAAUUAAAGCCACCAUUAAGGUGUCUCACAUUGACAGCUGCAAUUUUACUGAUGCUGUGCAGCACAGGAUGUCCACUCUCAUUACGUUUCAAGACACAGGAAAUGCAACUCAGUAUCUGAAUGCAUAAGAGGGAAGAAGCCUUUUGAAGUUCAAGUGUUUCCUACAGGAUUCAACAAGCCUGUUGAUAUCAGUAUGUGCUGGCAUAUAAAGAAUCAAUUACAGACUUCAAUACUUACAUGUGCUGGCUUCCAAUCCCCCAAAAGCCCUCAGUGAGGAGGUUCACAAAUGGGAAGUGAAGAUCUGCCAGGCACUUGGAUCCCUGUUGUGAAGUCUGACUGAAGAGAAGCAUGCAAAACAGAAGCUCUAAUCAGGAUGGAUAUUCAAUAAAUAAAUAGUCUUGUGACAUGCAAAAGGAGGAAAAGGACAAAGCAUUCCAGGCCAAGAUAUUGACAAUAGGUGUUUUGGCUUGGAUGACAAGCAUGACAAACAGCAAAGUUGUGUCCUGGACAUUCUGGUUCCCAGCUUCAGAGACUAACCCAUGGAUGGCUCCAGCAUGUUCCAUCUCCUGUUUGCCCAGUUGCUGCCUCCCUUUCUGUGUUUCCAUUUGACCUCCAUGCUCGGAUACAAGCAGGAGGUUAUCCUGCACAGGGAUGGGUGUCAGACACUGCCCUGUACAGGGACAGCCUGAGGAGUGUCUCCAGUUGGAAAUCACCCCACAGUCCCCCAGCAUCACACCAUGGCCUGUGAGGUCAGCUGGCUUCUUGUUCCAGCAGGCGUUAUUGUCACUCUUACUGGCAAGCAGGGCAUUUCCAGAACAUCUCUGUGGGCAGAUGGUGCGUCCCCAUCUUGGCUCCAUUCUUUAGGAGUCUGAAUCAUCACCCUUUGGACACACCUUCUUGAUUCCUCUCUGGGCCUGCAGGAGCUGACAUCACCCAGCUCUUAAUCUCUUCUCCAGAAGCACUAAACUCUAAUGCCAGAUUACCUUUGUCCUUUAUCUCCUUUAGCCACUCUACAAACAGAGCUCCUUUGAAGUGAUUGCUUUUAUAUAUUCACUUUACACGGAUUAAAAAAAUGUUCUGUGGAUUUCAGAAUAGUUCACUCCAACAGAUUCCAGCUCAGCAAGUCCACCACCUUCCCUGAGGUUGCAGACACCACAAAUAUGAGCACACCCCUAUUCUCCAUGGUUUUUAAUAUACUGAGAUCCAAAUUAUGCUGCUGUUGGUUCACAUCUCUCCAAUACAAAGAUGAUGGAAAACUGAAUAUCUGGAAAAAACCCCAGCACAUAAGGAAUCAAUACCAUUCAGAGCUAUCUGCGUUUUUCAGUUGUCAUUAGCCAAACAAGACUCUGACUACUUUAGAGAACAAAAGGCAGCAAAGUGAUUAAACAAUUUUCUUUUGCUCAAAUUCAUUUAAUGAGUCAGACACAUCCCAGGGAUCUGGACCUACAUUUCUAAAGCAGGUUUUUUUGCUGAGGCCAGGGUGACUUUUCCAGCUAGCUUGCUUUCUCCACAGCCUGAGAUCUCAGAAGAAAUAAAAAUCAGUUUAUCUCAUGUUAAAAGGGUACCUUUUAACUCUACAUAAGCAGACCCAUCAACCUCCUGCCUCUCUCAGGCUGGCAACCAAAUACCAGCAUGCUGGAGCAUGCGUUUGCUUUUUGGUGAAGUGCAGACCUUAAAAAGCUAGGCUGGAUGCAAGGUUCGUGACAGACAGCAAGGUCUUCUGCAGACAGAAGCAUGCAGCUGCAGAAAGGGCCUGCCUAGAAGGAAUUACAGCAAGGUUAUGGUUUUGAGAUAUUUUACUUUUUAAUAGGCCACGGGGUCUCCUGGAUCUACGUGGACACUACCCUGGCUCCAGGGUCACAUAGUGCAGGUAGCUGAGUGCUCCCUUCAAGCACACAAUUUACUGGAUGCUCCUGAACCUAAUGAAUUUUGGCGGCAGGAAUGAUAAUAGCAGACAAUUGUUUGUCUCCAGCCGCUAAAUUUUGUUAGAGAGUUAAAACAAACCUGUCUGCUUGACUAGUCUCAUGUGCAGCAAAACAAAAAUAAGCCUUCACAAAGAAUCAUUUUCAAGUGCCAUUUUACUUUUUGUCUUAGGCUCGCAAAUGUCUUUCAUGUUUUCUGAUAUGUCAGAUAUCAUAAUGCAAAAUAAAUAACCAAGUGAAACACACAGACAUAUUCUCUUGGUGGCUUGUGAUGUAGAAAAAAGCCUUCUGCCACUUCCCUUACCUCCUUCAUUGUAUUAUUUUUUUCUUUCUUUCUAAGGCUUGCAACAGAUGCUUCUUUGUAGCGUGGGCACGAAACGCUGAUGUUGUUUAAUGCUGUACUGUUUUGCAGCAUUUUGGAGCCCAGUCACAGCUCAGGCCCCCCUGUGAGUUAGACAUAGUGCAGACAGAACAGAGUCAGCCCUGGCUCUGAGGACAGCCCAUCCCACCCUGCACCUCCCAUGGCCACAGGAGACUCCCAGUGUAAAUGCUGAUGUGUUCAACACGUCUGUCUGCCACACAUGCAGAUCAUGGAGACAGUGACAUUGCCUGGGACACGGGGGGGCUGGCAGCAGUGCCUACUGGUUGCUAAAUACACCAUUCAAAAGAAACCAUUUAAAAAAAAAAUCUUAAAGCUGGUGUUUGUCAUGUGAAUUCAGCUUUGGAGGAUCAUGGGAGUGGAGCAGGUCUUGUUAGGUCAAAGAUUUAAAAGUCCCCCAGUCAUGUAGGGAGUCACAGCCUUAAUUUCAGAAGUGAAUUAGAAUUUAAUUUCAAGGAACAAAGAACUUAGGAUAUUUUGGCAAGGAGGGACAAGUUCCCAUUUCAUUUUUUAAAAAUAUAACCCAUUCUGUUUAAAAAACACUCUCCCACAUACAGAUCCAUUCCUGACACUCAAGAGCAGACAGAAAACAGCAGUAACUCUCUGCUGAUUAGACCAGCAGAGUUCCUGCCCAUUAACAAUAGCCAGAGAAGAAAAAUCCCUGUUACGGACCUGCAACGGGACCUUUUUUACUUUGUCAGUCAAGGAAUCACAACUAAACUUUACUGGAGCCAAAUUUAAGUAAAAACUAAAAUCUUGCCCUCCUCUGGUACCUAUCUCUAGCAUUGUUACUUGACUUUACAUUGAAGCCAUCAAAUAAAACUUCAAAAUGGCACAGGACCAGUGACCUACCACUGAGCAUCAGCUUGCAUUUUUUCCAUAAAAGCAAACCUGCUUCUGCUCGAAAUAGCUACAGGCAUUUGACUCAUUAAGUUUUUAUUUGAAUGAAUUUUUUUUAAUCAAAAUAAAAUGUUAUUUCUAAGUUAUCCCCCCCAAAAAAUCUAUUAAAGCUCUUCCCAAAAACAAAGCAGAUUUUCUGCCUUUUAAAGUAGGGAUCGUAACUAAAAGCUGUUAUUUCCUUUUUCUAUACAGUUAUUUGGGCAAUUAAAUAUAUUAAAAUUUUUUUUUCUCCUAGAAAACUCAUAAUUGUGUCUCUCAAAAUAGUAAUACCAGAGUGGAGUUAUUCAUUCUAGAAAGAUAAAUAAAAUUGUUCUCUGUCUCACAGUUCUUUUGUUUUGACCUGUAGGUCAAAAUAGGAUGAUGUUUCAUGUUAAUAGAAAUAGCUCUGUAAGGGGAAACAUGUUGACAGUGACUUUAAAACAGUUUCAAAUGAUGAUCCAGCAUCCUUGCUUAAAAUCCCUCAUAUAAAUCUGUAACUUCCAAGACUUUAACCUUCCAAGGUCUGUUCCCAAGGUUGGUCUCCGUGCUCAGCUGAUGCUGAGUUUGCCCUCACCGCUG